UGCAAGUCGAACGAAGUCUUCGGACUUAGUGGCGCACGGGUGCGUAACGCGUGGGAACCUGCCUUAAGGUUCGGAAUAACAGUUAGAAAUGACUGCUAAUACCGGAUAAUGUCUUCGGACCAAAGAUUUAUUGCCUUAAGAUGGGCCCGCGUUGGAUUAGGUAGUUGGUGGGGUAAAGGCCUACCAAGCCGACGAUCCAUAGCUGGUCUGAGAGGAUGAUCAGCCACACUGGGACUGAGACACGGCCCAGACUCCUACGGGAGGCAGCAGUGGGGAAUAUUGGACAAUGGGCGAAAGCCUGAUCCAGCAAUGCCGCGUGAGUGAUGAAGGCCUUAGGGUUGUAAAGCUCUUUUACCAGGGAUGAUAAUGACAGUACCUGGAGAAUAAGCUCCGGCUAACUCCGUGCCAGCAGCCGCGGUAAUACGGAGGGAGCUAGCGUUGUUCGGAAUUACUGGGCGUAAAGCGCGCGUAGGCGGUCUAUUAAGUCAGGGGUGAAAUCCCGGGGCUCAACCCCGGAACUGCCCUUGAAACUGCUAGACUAGAAUCUUGGAGAGGUCAGUGGAAUUCCGAGUGUAGAGGUGAAAUUCGUAGAUAUUCGGAAGAACACCAGUGGCGAAGGCGACUGACUGGACAAGUAUUGACGCUGAGGUGCGAAAGUGUGGGGAGCAAACAGGAUUAGAUACCCUGGUAGUCCACACCGUAAACGAUGAUAACUAGCUGUCCGGGUUCAUGGAACUUGGGUGGCGCAGCUAACGCAUUAAGUUAUCCGCCUGGGGAGUACGGUCGCAAGAUUAAAACUCAAAGGAAUUGACGGGGGCCUGCACAA
rnacentral:rRNA from 1 species